rnacentral:tRNA from 2 species
GGGGCUGUAGCUCAGUUGGUAGAGCGCCUGCUUUGCAAGCAGGAUGUCAGGAGUUCGACUCUCCUCAGCUCCACCA